UUUGUUUAUAUAUUGAUAAUGACAGUAUAUAUAUCGUGUCUUGACUAAUUGCGUGCCAGCAGUCGCGGUAAUACGUAAGAGACUAGUGUUAUUCAUCUUAAUUAGGUUUAAAGGGUACCCAGACGGUCAAUAUAGCUUAUAAAAUGUGAGUACUUGACUAGAGUUUUAUGUAAGAGGGCAGUACUUGAGGAGGAGAGAUGAAAUUUCGUGAUACCAAAGGGACUCUGUAAAGGCGAAGGCAGCCCUCUAUGUAAAAACUGACGUUGAAGGACGAAGGCACAGAGAACAAACAGGAUUAGAUACCCAAGUAGUCUUUGCAGUAAAUGAUGAAUGCCAUAGGUUAGAUUAAUCAAACAUAGUCUAGGGUUAGUCUAGCAAACUAAUGACCUAUACUACAAUGAAAAAAAAUAUCUGGUCUAUAAAUGAAAGUGUAAGCAUUUCACCUCAAGAGUAAUGUGGCAACGCAGGAACUGAAAUCACUAGACCGUUUCUGACACCAG
rnacentral:rRNA from 1 species